rnacentral:rRNA from 1 species
AGAAGAAUUAGCCACAUUGGAAUUGAAAAACGGUCCAAACUAAAAUUUAGGCAGCAGUGAAGAAUAUUAGACAAUGAGCGUAAGCUUGAUCUAGUUAAGUCAAUUAUGUGAUGAAAAUUUUUUAUUUUAAAACAUUAAACUUAUUCAAAAUAAUGUUUUAAUAAGUUUUAGUUCUGGCUAAUUUCGUGCCAGCAGCCNNNGUAAUACGAGAAGAACGAGUGUUAUUCGAAUUUAUUGGGCGUAAAGAAUUAUUAGAUGGUAAAUUUUUUUUUUAAUUAUGAAAAAGUUUAUUUUUCAUACGUUUAAUUUUUAAAAAAA